rnacentral:rRNA from 1 species
AGUGAACGCUGGCGGUAGGCCUAACACAUGCAAGUCGAGCGGCAGCACAGUAAGAGCUUGCUCUUACGGGUGGCGAGUGGCGGACGGGUGAGGAAUACAUCGGAAUCUACUUUUUCGUGGGGGAUAACGUAGGGAAACUUACUCUAAUACCGCAUACGACCUACGGGUGAAAGCAGGGGAUCUUCGGACCUUGCGCGAUUGAAUGAGCCGAUGUCGGAUUAGCUAGUUGGCGGGGUAAAGGCCCACCAAGGCGACGAUCCGUAGCUGGUCUGAGAGGAUGAUCAGCGACACUGGAACUGAGACACGGUCCAGACUCCUGCGGGAGGAAGCAGUGGGGAAUAUGGAGCAAUGGGCGCAAGCCUGAUCCAGCCAUACCGCGUAGGUGAAGAAGGCCUUCGGGUUGUAAAGCCCUUUUGUUGGGAAAGAAAAGCAGCAGGUUAAUACCCCGCUGUUCUGACGGUACCCAAAUAAUAAGCACCGGCUAACUUCGUG